ACGCUGGCGGCGUGCUUAACACAUGCAAGUCGAACGAUGAAGAGCAGCUUGCUGCUUGGAUUAGUGGCGCACGGGUGAGUAAUAUAUAGGUAAUGUGCCUCUUAGUCUGGGAUAGCCAUUGGAAACGAUGAUUAAUACUGGAUACUCCUUCUAACUCUAAUGUUAGUCGGGAAAGUUUUUCGCUAAGAGAUCAGCCUAUAUCCCAUCAGUUAGUUGGUAAGGUAACGGCUUACCAAGGCAAUGACGGGUAGCGGGUUUGAGAGGAUGAUCCGCCACACUGGUACUGAGACACGGACCAGACUCCUACGGGAGGCAGCAGUGAGGAAUAUUGCACAAUGGGGGAAACCCUGAUGCAGCAACGCCGCGUGGAGGAUGACGCAUUUCGGUGUGUAAACUCCUUUUAUAUGUCAAGAAAAUGACGGUAGCAUAUGAAUAAGCACCGGCUAACUCCGUGCCAGCAGCCGCGGUAAUACGGAGGGUGCAAGCGUUACUCGGAAUCACUGGGCGUAAAGGACGCGUAGGCGGAUUGGAAAGUCAGAUGUGAAAUCCUACAGCUUAACUGUAGAACUGCAUUUGAAACUUCUAAUCUAGAGUAUGGGAGGGGGAGAUGGAAUUAGUGGUGUAGGGGUAAAAUCCGUAGAUAUCACUAGGAAUACCGAAAGCGAAGGCGAUCUCCUGGAACAUUACUGACGCUAAGGCGUGAAAGCGUGGGGAGCAAACAGGAUUAGAUACCCUGGUAGUCCACGCCCUAAACGAUGAACACUAGUCGUCGGGAUGCUUGUCAUCUCGGUGAUGCACUUAACAGAUUAAGUGUUCCGCCUGGGGAGUACG
rnacentral:rRNA from 1 species